UGCUGUUGUCAAUAUAAUCACAGCUGUUCUUGGUCUGAGACAUUAAACAAAGUCCCAGGUGCUCAUUAUAUGGAGAUGAAUAAUUAACUUACUAUUUUAUAAAAGAAGCCUUGCCUUUUAAUAAGCAGUUCUUCAAAUAUUCAAGCUACAGGAGAGGGAUUUUUUUUGUUUGUGAUUUUUUUUUUUUUUUUUUAAUUUUCCUUCCCCCCCCUUCCUAAGAUAAAUCACAUGGUCCCUGUUUGUUUGAAAGUAAAUUCUCUCUUGUGGUCUUGAAGGGAGCUGGAGGCUGGGAGGAGAUGAACACAGCAAGGUCAGCUUUCUGGAAAAAUCCCUCUCCACCAGGAUUUCUGACAUCUCCUCAUUAGGAUCAUCCCCUCUGUGCAGUGAUGUUCCUCUGCCUGGAGAGGACAGGGACGCGUGGGUCAGGAGCCUGGAGCAGAAAUCAUCUUCUCCAGGCCCCCAGCUCUGGAGUGUCUGCGUAUAGUCCCAAAAGACAAAAGUUCAAGGAAUGAAACAUUGCAUCUACCCCAGCUGCUUUCAACUCUGAAUAGCAAAGCAGAGACAUUUGGUUUUCAAACCAGACGUCCAUGUUUUAGCUUUUGCCAUUGUUUAGUCUCACACCCCAGGCACAGGUCUUGGACUCCUUUCUUGCUGCAUCACAGUGCCCCGAGGACCCUGCCUGCUCUCUCCAGGGUUUCUCCCUAGGUUUCUCUGCUUUCCAUUGCACAUCAUGAAGAAGAGGGAGAAAUGUCUCAAAAGUUUGAGCUGCUUCAGAGCAGCAGAUUUUCUCUAACAACUCUCAUGACCUUUCCUGGCUGGAAGAAGAUAUCAUGAAACCAAGAGGUGCAGGGGCUCACUCAUGACAGCUGAUCUCGUCCUCUGUGAGUGAAGGUGAUUUUGCCCAAAAGAUUGUGCUGUCAGAAGAGACUGGACUGGGUGAGAAAGGUGAAAAGCAAGCAAAAGACCAUUUAAAAAUAACCAGUACCAAUGACUUGUGGAAAUGUUCAUUAUCUGGUGAUUUAAUAUUCCCAAGUGGAAUGAAAUCCUGAAAAGUUUACAGAUCCAAAUGCAGCUACUCUCCUAACAGACAGUUCAGCUGCGCUGGUCAGAUGUGAAACACUUUUUUUU